CGGUGAUUGGCGCAGCCUGGUAGCGCACUUCGUUCGGGACGAAGGGGUCGGAGGUUCGUAUCACCGACCA
rnacentral:tRNA from 1 species